UGGGGAAUAUUACGCAAUGGGCGAAAGCCUGACGCAGCAACGCCGUGUGAGGGAUGAAGGCUUUCGGGUCGUAAACCUCUGUCGGAAGGGAAGAACGGGUGAGGGUCUAAUAGGCCUUCAUUUUGACGGUACCUUUAGAGGAAGCACCGGCUAACUCCGUGCCAGCAGCCGCGGUAAUACGGAGGGUGCAAGCGUUAUUCGGAAUUACUGGGCGUAAAGCGCACGUAGGCCGCUUUGUAAGUCAGGGGUGAAAUCCCACGGCUCAACCGUGGAACUGCCCUUGAAACUGCAGAGCUUGAAUCCUGGAGAGGGUGGCGGAAUUCCUGGUGUAGGAGUGAAAUCCGUAGAUAUCAGGAGGAACACCGGUGGCGAAGGCGGCCACCUGGACAGGCAUUGACGCUGAGGUGCGAAAGUGUGGGGAGCAAACAG
rnacentral:rRNA from 1 species